GGUUAUACCAAGUGAUUAAGUUAUAUAUUUAGGUAAAAAGACAGUUAGGCCUAGGAUCAGACUUAGUCUAUUAAUCACCUAUAAAAAGGUAAAAUUUGUAUAUAGGUAGCUAAUCUAAAAAUGGCUAUGAAGCGCUGAAGCUGUGACAGUCUUGAGGGAAACUGGGAUUAGAUACCCCAUUAUUCUUGACUGUAAAUAUAAUUAAAUUUACCAGAGUACUAUGAAUAGUUAAAAAUUUAAAACUCAAAGGGCUUGGCGGUGUUUUAGACCUAUCAGGGGAACCUGUCUCGUAAUCGACAAUCCACGUUACAUCUAACCUCAUUUUGUAUUCAGUUUGUAUACCGUCGUCGUCAGGUAACUUUUAAAAAUAUAGGAGUUAGCAGUAGAAAUUACGUAAAUUAAGACGUCAGAUCAAGGUGCAGCCUAUAGUGAGGAGAGGAUGGGUUACAAUUAUUAAAUUUAUAACUACGGAAAUUUAAAUGAAACCAUAUUUAGAAGGAGGACUUGAAAGUAAACUAAAAUAUAUAAGUAGUUUGAAUAAGGCUCUG
rnacentral:rRNA from 1 species